CCCUUAGACGUUCUGGGCCGCACACGCGCUACACUGAAGGAGGCAGCGUGUACUCCUGGAUCGAAAGAUUUGGGUAACCCGCGAAUCUCCUUCGUGCUAGGGAUUGAGGUUUGCAAUUAUCCUUCAUGAACGAGGAAUUCCCAGUAAGUGCAAGUCAUAAGCUUGCGCUGACUACGUCCCUGCCCUUUGUACACACCGCCCGUCGCUACUACCGAUUGAAUGAUUUAGUGAGGACUUCGGACUGGGACCGAUGCGGCUUUCGGGCUGCGUCGGUAUUCUGGAAAGAUGUCCAAACUGUNUNAUUUAUNGGAAGUAAAANUCGUANCA
rnacentral:rRNA from 1 species